rnacentral:rRNA from 1 species
CAGUCGCCGCGGGAAUACAGAGGGUGCGAGCGUUAAUCGGAUUUACUGGGCGUAAAGCGUGCGUAGGCGGCUAAUUGAGUCGGAUGUGAAAUCCCCGAGCUUAACUUGGGAAUUGCAUUCGAUACUGGUUAGCUAGAGUGUGGGAGAGGAUGGUAGAAUUCCAGGUGUAGCGGUGAAAUACGUAGAGAUCUGGAGGAAUACCGAUGGCGAAGGCAGCCAUCUGGCCUAACACUGACGCUGAGGUACGAAAGCAUGGGGAGCAAACAGGAUUAGAUACCCGAGUAGUCCCUGUCUCUUAUAC